rnacentral:lncRNA from 1 species
UACAGAGCUAAACAAGAAGGCAGAGUUACAUACAGAUAACAAGGAGACAUUUGAACGUUGCAUACAACUGAACAAGGAGGCAGAUUCAGCUAAUCUCUGUAGGAACAGACUCUAAUGGAGCAGUCUUCAGCCCAUAAACAUCUGGAAGAAGAAAGCCACACUGGACAUUUUCUACACUGUCAACAUUCACACUCAAACCAGAGGAAGUCUUUGCUGUCUCUCUAACCUCACCCAGGGAAAGUUUUGCCGCUCCCAUGUGUCUGAUGCAGGUGGAUUGUAUGGUCCUGGCUGUAGUGCAGUAUAUGCAUCUUGAAGAUGUCCAUAUGGCCAAGUAAAGCGAUUAUGGUAAUAGCUUCCUGCAUAUUGGAAGAGAGUAAUAGUCUUGAGUGCUCACUGUGUUAUGUGGAUAAUAAAGGAAAGAACCUUCAUUGAAGCCUUGAAACAGGACUUGUUUGGGAAUCUGGCUUUCCACAAGUGUCAAUGGCUGGCUCUUUUCCUCUUGUUCGUAUUCAUGCAGAAGAAAAAAGCAGGAUGUUGGAGGAGGAUUUGUUGACUGACAAUGGUCACUACAGGACAGAGCAGGACUGCAGAUAGUAGACAGCUUUCUCCCAAGCAGCAACUGUUGAGCAUUGCCAAGCAGCUGGGAAUGAUGGCAGAACUGACUUUGGUUAGAUGGCCUUGAGGACCUCAAGGGUGCUGACACAGCCCUACUUACCUACUCCCCACAUCUCUGUGGGGUCCCUUAAAUGCUGGUAUCCCCUUUCCUUUGUGUUAGGAUCCUAGGACCUUUAUGCAUGGACUUCCAUUUCUAUGAGAUUUUGAGAAAACAGCAGAAAAGCAAUGCACACAGCUAAGUCAGUUGCCAUUCAAGAAUUUGUUUCCAGCUCCCAGGUAUUGCUGGUGUUUCCCCCUUCUUUUUUGACCAUGCUUAUAAUUUCAUGUGUGUGCAAAAGCACACACUCAUCCCUCCAUAUUUUGGGGGAAUGGUUACAGGACCACUCCCCCAGAUACCCAAACCCAAGAAGGCAUAAGCCUUUUUAUAAAAUGGCAUAUAAAUUUGUGUGUGUGUGUGUGUGUGUGUGUGUGUGAACAUGCACACUCAUGUAUAUCCUCCCAUAGACUUUAAGUUAGCUCUAGACUCCUUGCAAUAUCCAAUACAAUGUAAUUACUGUGUAACUGAUUGCUGUAG